UACGUAGGGUGCGAGCGUUGUCCGGAAUUACUGGGCGUAAAGAGCUCGUAGGUGGUUUGUCGCGUUGUUCGUGAAAACUCACAACUCAAUUGUGGGCGUGCGGGCGAUACGGGCAGACUGGAGUACUGCAGGGGAGACUGGAAUUCCUGGUGUAGCGGUGGAAUGCGCAGACAUCAGGAGGAACACCGGUGGCGAAGGCGGGUCUCUGGGCAGUAACUGACGCUGAGGAGCGAAAGCGUGGGGAGCGAACAGG
rnacentral:rRNA from 1 species